rnacentral:lncRNA from 1 species
UCAUCAUCCCUAUUAUGUAAUGUAAUAUCUCUGACAUAUUAUUAUUAUAACGAGUAGAUAUUUUAAUUCUUUAUAUCCUAUAGAUAUUUCGCUUCCAAACCUUAACAUUCGUCUCAAUUUUGCUGAUUCCCAACACGCUUAUAUCUAGCUUUUGUAUUUUGCUUUUUGUUAGCAAAAAAAACAUAAGUUUGUCGCAUGAAACGUACUAAAACAUACUAAAAAUAUAGUUUUUUAUACAAUUUAUAGGUACAAUAUCACCUUAACGAAAACGCUUGUAAGAUAUAGCUUACUGAUACCAUAGAGUAAAAUGACAUUGUUUUAAAUUAAAAUAUUUUAAUGACAGAUGACAAACACUGAAAUAGUAAAACUAAUAGUUUUUUAAUCACUUUAAUUCAUAUAAUAUUUACAUACAAAUCGUAAGAAAUUAAAAAAAAAUCUUUAUUGUAAUAAUCUAAAUCUAUAUUGUAUCUAGAAAAUUCAUUCUACUCUAUGGAAUUUUAGGAUAUGGGGAAAAGUAGCCCAUUUACAAUUCCAUAAUAAAUGUAGUCAUAGUUUUAUUUAUUGGUGUAAAAUCAUGAUAAAAACAUGAUCACAGGAGCACGUAGAUAUUAGUUAAUUGGGUAUCAUAUUUAUACUGUUUUUAUGCCUUAAAGAUGCGUUUUAGGGAUUUCCAUCUGCCUUCGGUAGUUUCAUACGUAUCAGGGUAGCAUCAAGGAUUAUGAGAGACAGCACGAGUGUCUCGUUUUGUUGCAUUUCACUUAUCAUCAGAAUAAUUGUCUAAUGUCCGGCCGCUCAGAGAUUGCGUUUUUGACAGGUCGUGAUCGAAUGGGCGAUGUUACUUCGAACUGGUGUACAAGGUUGUUGAACAGCGCUGUUUCAAGGUUAUGCCAACUGUUUGCCUUUGUAGUGAUUAGACAAAUAACGAGGCAAUUGUAAUUGAAUAUGUUUCUCCCAUUCGAUCACGACCUGUCAGAAAAGCAAUCUCUGAGCGGCCGGACUUUAUAAUGCUGAUGAUAAAUAUAUAAUACAGCGUUUAGAUGUUUUAUCAUCUGUAUUGGGAUUAUAGUACACAUGAUACAUUUAGCUUCAGAGAUUGCGUUUCUGACAGGUCGUGAUCGAAUGGGCGAUGUAACUUUGAACUGGCGUACAAGGUUUAACUGCGCUGUUUAUGACAACUGUUUGUCUUUGUAGUGAUUAGACAAA